rnacentral:ncRNA from 1 species
CCGCGAGGACGGCCUCCCCCAUUUCGGGUUUGCGUUCGGGACGGCCCGG